rnacentral:tRNA from 1 species
GACAGGAUAGCUCAACAGGUAGAGCAGUGAUGAACAUAUCUUGGUAAAGAUAUUUACAGCAACCAUUAAUGCCAUAUAGGGACACUUGUUACAGGUUCGAGUCCUGUUCCUGUCG